AGUAAAUAGGAUAGGGACCAAAGGUGGGAAAAUGACUUUUAUAAAGAAAUUGGGAAAGGACGAGGGGUUUCGUGCAGUGGAAUCAUCCGAAUUCUAAUGGAAGCCAACUGGCGAUCAUCGAUGUCGAGUCGUAUCCUCAGUGAAGAAGGCCGUGCUAAGGAAACCGUUUACAUCCAAGUAAAACCCAUUUCUUUACUGUACUUUUUUGGGUGAAUUUUUUUUGACAAUUUUGUGGUCUGGUUGAGGUGAAUAAUAUUUAUUACUUUGUGGUUUUUUGGGGGUGAAGAAAAUGGAGAGGGAGAGGAUGGAGAAGAUGAAACUUUUGGAGCAAGAGAAAGCUGAUUAGGAGAAAUCUGAAAAGGUACAUAUUCUUUCAAGAUUUUUAUGUUUUGGUUUUUAUAUUUAUUUUGUGUUUUCCCCUGUUUGGUGUUAUGUCUGAAAAUCGUUUUGGAUUUUUGAAAAUCUGGAGUACCUUGAGUCUGAAAGAUUUCAAUUUGUGUAAUCCUACUAGUAAAUAACAUCUGAAUGCAUCUAAUUUAUGAAAUUCAAAGCGGAAGAAAUACUUCAAUAUUGGGAUUUGCUUAGGACACUGUUUGGAACCUCAGCACUACCACGUGUUAUGGAAUUAGAUAUAUACAAAUUGCAAUUUCGUUAAAGCUGUUCCAUGGAACUGUUGAUGGAACCGGUUCCAGGCUCUGAGGUUUGUCCUUCACCCCAUAAAUUGACGAAGGUUGUAGUGGGAUAAGAAGUGUUUGGUUUAUCAGCAUGUGCAAUGUCUUGGUGGUUCCAAGUAUUCUUCUAUUGAGAUUGAUCAAUCAUGUACUGAAAACAGACGGUGAAUUCAGUUAUUGAGUUGGAAGAAAAAAGCUGGAGCAAAUGAGUCCCUUUUUAAUAGUGACAAGCUGAUAUUAUUUGUUCAUGGAAAGUUAAUGAGACAUUAUUCCUAACUGAACAAUCUAAGGCAGGGUUAUAACUUGUAAACUUCAACCAAUAAUUCUGUGGUUAGUUACCUCAAUAAGUUUUUAUUGUGCUUCAGAGACAUGGUAGUGUGUGGGAUUGUGACGGCUUCUCUACCAUAUCCUUUGUAGACAUAUGACAUCCAUGUUGUAGAUCUCGAGCCUGUACUAUGGGUUGAAAGGGGAAAUGGGUGCUUUUCCUGCAAUGCCUAACUAAUGUUUUAUCCAGUUUAAAUUGAUUGAAUCAAAGUUCAGUGAAAUAGAUUCACUUAAUGAGUUUUUGUGGCUCAGAAGUUGUUGGUCCUCUAUAUUUUUGGCCUUGUAGUAAAUUAAAAAACAAUUAUAUAGUAGGGCUUGAGGGAUAAGAUGGAUAUUGGCUCUCUCAUAUCGGAAAGUACAUUUUACGUUAACAAUAGGGCAUAGGCCAGGGUUGUUACAAAAAAAAAAAAAAAAAAAAAAAAAAGCACGUUUUGUAAUGAUACAGGGCCCUAACCAUGGACCACCAGUCCGUAGAUUUAGCUUACACAUUGUCCAAUAGGUGCUGCGUCCCAAUGUGGAUUUCUAUAGCAUCCUUAGCGUUUCGAAUCCAAGGCCUUUUGCUUAUGAGAUACUUAAGUUAAAAGCUGGUACCGAUUGGGCCAGCUAUGAACAUGGACCAUGUUGGGGGCCAAAUCUGGUGGCUAUUAUCAGUGUCAUAUUGUUUACACAUGAACCCAAAAUAAACCAUUGACAAUUGUACUUACUGUUUUGCUAAUUUAUAUAUAGUUUAGAACUUAACUUCUGUUUGUUUGAAGAGUUAGUAUUCUGUUGAUAUAUAUAUAUAUAUAUAUAUAAAUAUUUAUAUAUUGUAAUAGUCUCAUAUUUUCUUUUUUGUAUCUUUAACAGGUGGAUCAAAAGAGCUGAAUUGGGUCGUCUCCGUUGAACUGACUCAUGGACUGUUAGUAAGAUCACUGCUGUGAAAAAAGCAAUGUGCACUAUGCAUACACUCUUGCUGAGAUCACUGUUGUGAAAAAAACAAUAUGCACUUUCAAUUCGUAAUGCUACAGGCUGUUGAUCACAGUUGUUGUAAUUUUGUUGAUUUCUCAAAACUUUUUGUCCCCUUAAUUUUUCUUGUAUCGUUUACUUUAUUUUGCAUUGGUAGUUACAUGCUUAGUUAGAGAAUUUUUUCUCGAAGAAAUCAUGAAUCUUCUAGGAUAUUAUUAAGGAUCUCAUCGAAAACUUAUAAGUCAAUGAGAAUUCAGUGAAAAUACAACCUUUUAAUGAUUACAACCUCCAUUAUCGUUCAUGAGGUCAUGAUAUGCCUAGAGGUGUAAAAUUGGGACAUUUUGUAGAUGCAAGCUGUGCCAUUUAUACGUUGGGGAACCCCUGAACACAGUAGCUUGGACUGAAUGCAGGAUAUCUAAUUUGGCAUGGAUUUCUAUAGAGAAAUGUAUUGUUUUCAUCAUCCUGUAUGGUACAAAAGACAACUUUUGCUGGUGUCCAUCUUGGGUAGUUAAACUAUACCGUGAUGGAUAUACAGUAAACGAACUUCUUUCGAGAAAUAGCUGAAAUAGCUUCAGAUAUGAUAAAAAGC
rnacentral:lncRNA from 1 species